rnacentral:rRNA from 1 species
GACGAACGCUGGCGGCGUGCUUAACACAUUCCAGUCGAACGGAAAGGCCCUGCUUUUGUGGGGUGCUCGAGUGGCGAACGGGUGAGUAACACGUGAGUAACCUGCCCUUGACUUUGGGAUAACUUCAGGAAACUGGGGCUAAUACCGGAUAGGAGCUCCUGCUGCAUGGUGGGGGUUGGAAAGUUUCGGCGGUUGGGGAUGGACUCGCGGCUUAUCAGCUUGUUGGUGGGGUAGUGGCUUACCAAGGCUUUGACGGGUAGCCGGCCUGAGAGGGUGACCGGCCACAGUGAGACUGAGAUACGGCCCAGAAUCCGACGAGGGGCAGGAGUGAAGAGAAUUAAACAAGGGGCGGAAGCCUGAUGGAGCAGCGCAGCGUGCGGGAUAACGGCCUGUGGGGUGUAAACCGCUUUCGCCUGUGACGAAGCGGGAGUGACGGUAAUUGGUAAAGAAGCACCGGAUAACUACGUG